rnacentral:rRNA from 1 species
CCUACGGGAGGCAGCAGUGGGGAAUAUUGGGCAAUGGACGCAAGUCUGACCCAGCAACGCCGCGUGAAGGAAGAAGGCUUUCGGGUUGUAAACUUCUUUUAAGGGGGAAGAGGAGAAGACGGUACCCCUUGAAUAAGCCACGGCUAACUACGUGCCAGCAGCCGCGGUAAUACGUAGGUGGCAAGCGUUGUCCGGAUUUACUGGGUGUAAAGGGAGCGUAGACGGAAUUGCAAGUCUGAUGUGAAAAUCCGGGGCCCAACCCCGGAAGUGCAUUGGAAACUGUAUUUCUAGAGUGUCGGAGAGGC